rnacentral:rRNA from 1 species
UACGUCCCUGCCCUUUGUACACACCGCCCGUCGCUACUACCGAUUGAAUGGCUCAGUGAGGCCUCCGGACUGGCUCGAAGAGGUUGGCAACGACCACUUCGAGCCGGAAAGUUCGUCAAACUCGGUCAUUUAGAGGAAGUAAAAGUCGUAACAAGGUUUCCGUAGGUGAACCUGCGGAAGGAUCAUUACCUAGAGUUGUAGGCUUUGCCUACCAUCUCUUACCCAUGUCUUCUGAGUACCUUCGUUUCCUCGGCGGGUCCGCCCGCCGAUUGGACAAACUUAAACCCUUUGUAAUUGAAAUCAGCGUCUGAAAAAACAUAAUAGUUACAACUUUCAACAACGGAUCUCUUGGUUCUGGCAUCGAUGAAGAACGCAGCGAAAUGCGAUAAGUAGUGUGAAUUGCAGAAUUCAGUGAAUCAUCGAAUCUUUGAACGCACAUUGCGCCCCUUGGUAUUCCAUGGGGCAUGCCUGUUCGAGCGUCAUUUGUACCUUCAAGCUCUGCUUGGUGUUGGGUGUUUGUCUCGCCUUUGCGUGUAGACUCGCCUUAAAACAAUUGGCAGCCGGCGUAUUGAUUUCGGAGCGCAGUACAUCUCGCGCUUUGCACUCAUAACGACGACGUCCAAAAAGUACUUUUUACACUCUUGACCUCGGAUCAGGUAGGGAUACCCGCUGAACUUAAGCAUAUCAAUAAGCGGAGGAAAAGAAACCAACAGGGAUUGCCCUAGUAACGGCGAGUGAAGCGGCAACAGCUCAAAUUUGAAAUCUGGCGUCUUUGGCGUCCGAGUUGUAAUUUGCAGAGGGCGCUUUGGCAUUGGCAGCGGUCCAAGUUCCUUGGAACAGGACGUCA